UGGAAGUCGGGCGGACGGUGCUGUCGCCAACCCGGUCAGGUCCGGAAGGAAGCAGCCGUAACGAAUUUGUAUCGGGUCGUUCCGGCUUCCACGUC
rnacentral:SRP_RNA from 16 species